rnacentral:rRNA from 1 species
UACGGGGGGGGCAAGCGUUGUUCGGAAUUACUGGGCGUAAAGGGCUCGUAGGCGGCCAACUAAGUCAGACGUGAAAUCCCUCGGCUUAACCGGGGAACUGCGUCUGAUACUGGAUGGCUUGAGAUUGGGAGAGGGAUGCGGAAUUCCAGGUGUAGCGGUGAAAUGCGCAGAUAUCGGGAGGAACACCAAUGGCGAAGGCGGCUCUCUGGAACGCAACUGACGCUGAGACGCGAAAGCGUGGGGAGCAAACAGG